AGAGUUUGAUCCUGGCUCAGGACGAACGCUGGCGGCGUGCUUAACACAUGCAAGUCGAGCGGAAAGGCCCUUCGGGGUACUCGAGCGGCGAACGGGUGAGUAACACGUGAGCAACCUGCCCCUAGCACCGGGAUAGCUCCGGGAAACCGGAAUUAAUACCGGAUAUGACCACAGCAGGCAUCUGCCGUGGUGGAAAGGUU
rnacentral:rRNA from 1 species